rnacentral:rRNA from 1 species
UACGUAGGGGGCAAGCGUUGUCCGGAUUUAUUGGGCGUAAAGAGCGUGUAGGCGGCCAGACAAGUCUGCUGUGAAAACUCGAGGCUCAACCUCGAGCUGUCGGUGGAAACUGUCUGGCUAGAGUCCGGAAGAGGAGAGUGGAAUUCCUGGUGUAGCGGUGAAAUGCGCAGAUAUCGGGAGGAACACCUAUGGCGAAGGCAGCUCGCUGGGACGUUACUGACGCUGAGACGCGAAAGCGUGGGGAGCGAACAGG